AUUGUAAGUUUAAGGCCAUAGCAGAAGCAGUCAUGGUGCAGCCAUGUCAAAUUCCAAUGAAUCUGUGAAUUCUGCU
rnacentral:ribozyme from 1 species